UCCCGUAAUGUUCAACACAAAUAACCGUAAAAAAACUCUAAAAAGUAUUUUUAUUUCGUGAAAAACUAUCUCAGUUUUGGAAUCUUCUGAAUUCACAUGCAUGCCGUCUAUAGGACAUAUACCCUGGUGGUUAUUACUGUUUCCGCUAUCAUUUCCACGAUAUACCGUCCCGUGCUCCAAUUCCACGCUUUAGCCAAUUCGUGUUUUUCGUUUGCACCUCGAAGCAGACCUACGUUGUUAUUUGCUUCAGUCUUGCUCUUUAGCAUGCCAAAGAAAUUUGACUACUAUUGCUCUUUUUAUUUAUAGCUAAAGAGAAGUUAAAUAGCACAAGCAGUUUGAAGAAUGGGUAUGUUGGAUCGUUCACAACCUUGGCUCAGCCAUGUUUGCCAUACCCACCCUAUCCAGAAAGACAGCAAAAGAAUAGGUCAGUUUCGAUGGCUGAAACAUCACCAGUGCUUUGGCAUGACCAGGUGCAAAAAACGACUGAAAAGGUUGAAUCAACACUUAUUACUCCAAACAAAAAGGAGUUGAGCACGAAGGACGAUGCUGUCAAAAAAGAUAGAUGCCUGUCAACAGCAUCAUCUGACAGUGGUUCCAUAAUGGAGGUUGUGGAGGGCUUAAGAAGAAAAAAUAUAGGUGUGCGCGGCACCCAGACAAUGGCUUCUAUUGGUUGUUCUCUCAUUAGCAACUCUUACAUCAUCAUUUGCCUUUUCCCCCCGUUCUUUCCCUAAAUUGCUGAAGAUAAGGGUGCCACAGUAUCCAUUUAUGGAUUUAUUAUUGGUACCAACUGCCUGACAUCGUUUCUUGUCACACUCCUUUUAUUGGAAAAACCUAAAAGUUAGUGGCGUUCGGUUCACCUUUGUUUCUGGAGUUUUCAUUGGAGGUAUUUGCUGCUUAUUAUCGGGCUUUUUAGAGUAUUUCCCUCCUUUCCCCUCCAUUUCCCCGGGGUUCAUUCGUCGUAAUAUCUAUAUUGUUCCGCGUCAUUCACGCUGCCGGAAACGCUGGAACAAUUACGGCGACGUUUACGUACACUGGUGUGGAGUUUCCCAAUUCCGUUGCCAAAAUCUUUAAUCUUACAAGAACCAUGAUGAACAUUGCCCAGCUUGCUGGUCCUAUAGUCGGCGGUGCAUUGUACGAAGUCGGUGGUGUUAAGACUCCCUUUAUCCUCAUGGGCGGAAUUCAAACUUUUAUGGCCUUUAUGGCAUUACCCUUUCUUCCCGAUUAUGACGUGUCACAGUAUGACGAGGGAUCGACUAAAACUCAAUCGCCAUUGGCUAUUUUGUGUAUUCCAUCCAUUUGGAUCCCGUUCUUCACGUUCAUCGUAUCGACAUGUCGAACGGGUUCCUCUCGAUCAACCUUGAACCGCAAGUGUUGCGUACGUUUGACUUGACACCAUUUUACGUGGGUAUCUUUUUCGAACUGAAAGACGGUGCCAACAGUAUAGCCAGCCCUAUUUGGGGAUACUUGUGCGAUCGCCGUGGACCUGUGAAGCUCUGCCUUUUUUCCAGUACCAUGAUCGGAGCCUUGUCCAUAUUUUUGCUGGGGCCUUUUCGCUUCGUUCCUAUUGAUCGAAAUCUAGCUGUUGUCGGUAUCGCAUUGGCACAAAGUGGAGUUGCGUUUGCAGGGCAACAAGUUUCGGGGGUCGUUGAUGCCAUGAGAGAAG